rnacentral:rRNA from 1 species
GACGAACGCUGGCGGCGUGCUUAACACAUGCAAGUCGAACGGAAAGGCCCUGCUUUUGUGGGGUGCUCGAGUGGCGAACGGGUGAGUAACACGUGAGUAACCUGCCCUUGACUUUGGGAUAACUUCAGGAAACUGGGGCUAAUACCGGAUAGGAGCUCCUGCUGCAUGGUGGGGGUUGGAAAGUUUCGGCGGUUGGGGAUGGACUCGCGGCUUAUCAGCUUGUUGGUGGGGUAGUGGCUUACCAAGGCUUUGACGGGUAGCCGGCCUGAGAGGGUGACCGGCCACAUUGGGACUGAGAUACGGCCCAGACUCCUACGGGAGGGAGCAGUGGGGAAUAUUGCACAAUGGGCGGAAGCCUGAUGAAGCAACGCCGCGUGCGGGAUGACGGCCUUCGGGUUGUAAACCGCUUUCGCCUGUGACGAAGCGUGAGUGACGGUAAUGGGUAAAGAAGCACCGGCUAACUACGUG